CUUUUGAUAUUAAUUUUAGGUCUAGCCUGCUCAAUGAAUUUUAAAUAGCCGCAGUAUCCUGACUGUGCAAAGGUAGCAUAAUCVUUAGUUUUUUAAUUGAAAGCUGGAAUGAAGGGUUGAAUGAGAANAUUACUGUCUCUAAAAAAGUUUUUUAGAACUUUAUUUUUAAGUAAAAAAGCUUAAAUUUAAAUAAAAGACGAGAAGACCCUAUAGAGUUUUAUAUUUAUUUNAAAAAUUAUUUUUUUUAGUAUUUUAAAAUUUUUUUUAGAUAUAAUAUUUGGUUGGGGCGAUUGGAAAAUUUAUAAAACUUUACUUUUAUUAAAACAUUUAUUUAUGAGAAAAUGAUCCUUAUUUUUAGAUUAUAAGAUUAAAUUACCUUAGGGAUAACAGCGUAAUUUUUUUUGAGAGUUCUUAUCGAAAAAAAAGAUUGCGACCUCGAUGUUGGAUUAAAAUUAAUUUUUGGUGUAGAAGCUAAA
rnacentral:rRNA from 1 species